rnacentral:rRNA from 1 species
UGUCCAGACUCCUACGGGAGGCAGCAGUGGGGAAUAUUGCACAAUGGGGGAAACCCUGAUGCAGCAACGCCGCGUGGGUGAAGGAGCGUUUCGGCGCGUAAAUCCCUGUCAGCGGGGAAGAAGAAAGACGGUACCCGACCAAGAAGCCCCGGCUAACUACGUGCCAGCAGCCGCGGUAAUACGUAGGGGGCAAGCGUUAUCCGGAUUCACUGGGUGUAAAGGGAGCGUAGACGGCGACGCAAGUCUGGAGUGAAAGCCCGGGGCCCAACCCCGGGACUGCUCUGGAAACUGCGGCGCUGGAGUACGGGAGGGGCAGGCGGAAUUCCUGGUGUAGCGGUGAAAUGCGUAGAUAUCAGGAGGAACACCGGCGGCGAAGGCGGCCUGCUGGACCGUGACUGACGUUGAGGCUCGAGAGCGUGGGGAGCAAACAGGAUUAGAUACCCGAGUAAG